rnacentral:rRNA from 1 species
UACGUAGGGUGCGAGCGUUAAUCGGAAUUACUGGGCGUAAAGGGCGCGUAGGCGGAUGGCACAGUCAGAUGUGAAAUUCCCGGGCUUAACCUGGGGGCUGCAUUUGAUACGUGUUGUCUAGAGUGAGGAAGAGGGUUGUGGAAUUCCCAGUGUAGAGGUGAAAUUCGUAGAUAUUCGGAAGAACACCAGUGGCGAAGGCGACUCGCUGGACAAGUAUUGACGCUGGAGGUGACGAAAGCGGUGGGGAGCAA